rnacentral:misc_RNA from 1 species
UUUCCGUAGGUGAACCUGCGGAAGGAUCAUUAAUGUUGAGCGGAUGUACGAGGAUUUUCGCUUACUAGGCACGUUGUGCACGACGGAAUGCGCUCGUACACAUCCAUCUCGCCCCUACGAACACCAUCCCAGCAGCCCCGCUAUUGCGUAUUCGGCGGGCGUCUUACGGUUUUACACCAACUAUGGAUACAGUAUAGAGUGUAUCUUGUUUUUUUUGAAUCACGCGAACAUAACAACUAUCAACAACGGAUCUCUUGUCGACCACAUCGCUGAAGAAGG